GGGGGGGGGGGGGGCGGCCCGACUCUUCCGGUACCUUCAGCGGAUCCCGACUUGAUUGCAUCUGGGGAACGUUCACGUUCGAGACGGCCGGCGUCCAGCCGACGCACGUGAGCUCAGCCGGGGCUCCGCUGCGGUGACCUGGUCCCCCCCCCGUUUGGCUUUUAUCUCCCACACAGUUUAUCUCCAGCCAUUAAACUCAAGCAACCUUCCAGAUUCUCCUCCUCACAGCGAUUCAUGUCCCAUUGUCUCCUCCUCCAUCUCUGUACCAGAGACAAUGGAUUCCCAAUGCUUGCUUACUGGGUGCUUACUUGUUUAGUUCAGUUUAUUUUGUCUGGGCCAAAAUCCCCAAAUUGCCUUAAGGGGGAAGAGGAGGAACAGAAUGAUUCUGAACUAUAUGAACUAUUCAUAUAAUGAGAGUAGCGAGAACCCAUCAGCAGAACCGUCUGAUGUGGAGAUCCGGCGAUGUAAAGAAAAAAAGGUUCCCCACGCGGAGACCUGCCGCGGGGAGGGUUCCAGCGCGGAAAAGUGUUUUCCAUAUUAAGUGGCUCGAGAGGCGUGCUGGUGAGACGGGCUCGAGCAUCAGAGAGAGGGUGAUGGAACGGACAAGGUAAUGAAUCUGUGACACGCACACACACACACACACACACACACACGCCGAUCCGUCGACUCCAGCAUCAAUGAGUCAAGUAAAUAAGAGUUUUUGGAUCAUAGAGGCGUUUUACGGCAGAGAACACAGUCCCCUCCCCCCCCCGACGCAGCCUCCUUAUCCACUCAGGGGGGGGUGUGGGGGGGUGUGGGGGGGGCAGGAGGCGCUGCGGCGGAUAAUCGAAUAGAGGAAAGGUUACAUUCCUGGUCGAUCGCUUUGCACCACGGACUCCGCGGUUGCAGCUGUUCACCUUUGGAGUGUCGCAGCGGAAGCUGUAGUAGCUGCCGCCAUUAAACCCCCCCCCCAGUGACAGGUUGUCAAGCCGGAUGUCCUGGAUCACAUGUCAUCGUCUCGCCCCAGUUGGCCUUUUUUAACUGUAAAAUAACGGGACCCAAUUGUCUUAUCUCCUUUGUUUCUUUUCUUUGUGUUUCAUCCAAUUCUCCAAAUCAGGUUCACAGUAUUUUAUGAAUCUGAAUCCUCCAUCUUAACAUGCCGGUGGAGUAACAACAGAAAUGUGAAUCAUCCAUCAGCAGCUCAUGUAGUUAAACAAGGAUCAAGGGCCGAGCGUCAUUCUGCAAGGUGACCCUCUGAGCACGCCGCGCGUUAGUGAGAAAAACGCGAGGAGCCUCGUACACCGCGCUUACUCAUCUGUGACGCCCCCCCUCUCCUCCACCCCACCCCCCCCCCCAACAAACAACUCAUCCCCUUCUCUGGGACGUGGGACAAGUUACCACUGACGUCACAGGACGAGCACAUGGCUCUUUUUAUCUGUUGGAAGGGAGCUGCAGGGUUCAACACCUCGUUUCACCAGUUUCUGGAAGAACACUAACACAAACAGCCGGGGGGGUGGGUAUAUGGGGGGGGGGGGGGUAAUUACAAGAGACGGUGGAAGAAGAUGCACAUAUGGGUAGAAGAGGAGGGGCUGGUGAGGACAAAAUUGCGCUAGUGUGUUCCCCGUGGCGUCACACGACACAUUUUUCCCUUGAGGCUCUCUGUAGGCCGCUGACACAUCAACGAGGGGGGGGGGGGGGGGGUUGAGCUGCACCCCUCCCGCCUCCCUGCACGCCAGGACCAUCAGCUUCCUCUUCGGGUGGGAAUUUUUAACCAACAAUGAGAGAUGUAACAAUCGCACUUCCACACAUGCAUUAGCGUGUAGUUUGUGUAUUCUGCAUGGUGUGUGUGUGUGUGUGUGUGUGUGUGUGUGUGUUUAUAUGUGAGCACGCUGCAGAACCACAGCACCAUCUUGUGGGUCACAUGUAAGACAAGUCCAAAACGGAGAAAAGCGUCCACCUCAAUAGCGCCCUGCUUAACCGCUUCAGAAGAAGAUGCGGCACGUUGUUCUGUUUAGUCUCCAAUGAGCAGCAGAGAACUCAAAUGUUUCACCUGAUGGAAACGUUCACCUCAGGAUCUGAUUAAACGAGUGAUCAAAGCGCGUUUCUUACCACAGCCAACUUAAAAAACGCACGGGGUUGGAGCGCCUUUUGUCUAAAGGACUGUAAAGAGCCCCGGAGGCAAACAACGCCGGCGAGGAUUAUUUAAUCCGACCAGAGGUUCGCCUGCAGAUGUGGACCGGAGCCCCGAGUGGUUCUUUGAUCGCUUUCCACUGAUUCCUCUUGUCGUGUUUGAGUCCUGAGGAGCGUUAAACCCUCGGAUGGCUUCGUUUGUAGGGCCUUGCUCGAGGGCGAGGGUUAUUUAGGACAAACUUUGCUUUCUCACUGCGAAGAAUUUUAGGGGUUAACAGACAAAUGACUGUAAACAAACAAACACACACACACACGCACACACGCACACUAUAAAUGCACGGGUAGUCAAUCAAACAUGCAGGGAAUGCUAGAGGAAAGCAGAGAAUGAUUCCACGUGUCCCCGGGGUCGUUGGCUUAUCAGUGUAAGUGGAAAGUGUUGCACUGUGAGGGCAGCUACCAGUGUGCGUGUGUGUGUGUGUGUGUGUGUGUGUGUGUGUGUGCGUGUGUGUGUGUGUGUGUGUUUGUGAGAAAGAGCUGCUCUUCUCACACUGUAACGACUCACUGGUGACAUUGUUCUGAUUUAUUUUUGGUAUCCUAGAUUUGAUUUGCUCUCUCCAGGAUAUCACACACACACACACAGUAGUAGCUGCCCUCACAGUGCAACACUUUCCACUUACACACAGUUACACUCCAUCGUACAUCAGGGGACACUUAAAUAAUGCCACUAAAACAUGUUUCUAAAGAUAUAACUUAAAAGUGCGUAACUGUACUGAGACGAUGACAUUUCUUGCCAGAUUAGUAGAAAAUGGAUUCAAAAUCCUUCUACUGUUUUAAAUCAGCUCAAAUCUUCCCCCUUUUUACUGCUCCAUUGCUUCAUUAUGUUGAAUUAGCCACAGGCUAGUGAGCUAGCUAACGCCAGCUUGCUAAUUCCCCCGUGUCGUGCUAACGUUGUGCUAACGUUGUGCUAACGUUGUGCUGCGCUCCAUUCGACUGCAGAUGUGAACUCUGGGAACGACGUCAAAGAACAACAAGCCAUAAAAAGCUGAGAUAACUUUUUUUACUAACGAUUGAGGGCUGAAAACCUUCAAACAGAGAAACUCCUCUACUGGUCCUUCACUGAUUGAUCAGGAAGUAGCUGAAAUGAUCACACGGUUUUCUUAGAGCACAUCUGUAGCACAAAACAGAAGAACUACAGAGACAUCUGGCUUUAAACAUUCUGUCCCAAAUCACACGAUCUGAGCCUCUUUAAAGAGGCAAAAUAAUGUAUAAUGAUGAUGGAGUGUUACAGUCAAAUUUACACAGUAAGAGAAACACACAGAAACAGAUGAAAAGCAGACUGUACACGUGUGUGUGUGUGUGUGUGUGUGUGUGUGUGUGUGUGUGUGUGUGCGCCCGUAACGAGCAUGUAAUUGGCGGUGUGUGAUUAGCUGGUGUCAGACUGCACGCUGCCGGGCCUGUUUGAUAAGAUCAGACUUUGUGGCCCGUUGACGUUCACACAAACACGAAGGCGUCAGCUCCUUUCCACCCGACAGAUUCACGCGCCGCCGAUCGUUUCCUGUCAUCAUCCCCGCGGAACGGGAAAAAAACCACACAGUCCAUUAGCUAAUCCGUUAAUUCUUCCCCGUCUGUUUGCAGAUGUCGGCCUCGAGUCCCCUCGGUCCCACUGAAGACGUCGCAUCUUCACAAACAGGGUUUUUCUAGAUUAUACUGAUUAUAAGCAAACCACAUUCAAACUGAGCACUUUUAGCCUUGUAUGAAUAUGCAAUAUUUUCAGCAGGAAGCUGUUGUGGGAUUUAAUGAAAAAAUAAACCACAGCACAUGCUGAUGAUGAAGGAACAUGUCACACAGGGUGGUUGAUCGAAACAGCUGUAGAUUUAUUUAUCACUGAAUGAAAUCUGAUCGGCUGCUUCGUCCUCCUCCCCUUGUCCAGAAAUCCUCCCCCCCAAAAAAACACCACUCUUUUUACCUGUUUCAAUUUGGGGUUGAUGAGCGGGUUCACUUUCCGGUCGGAGACGACAGGGUGCGACGGCGCGACGGGGCCGAGGCUCCACGCGCAGGCCAGAGGUCAGAGGUCAGAGGUCAGAGGGCCCCCCCCCCCCACUGGUCACGGCUCGCAACCCCUGGAUUUCACAGAGGCGAGGAAGAGUCGUUCGAACGUGUGUGUGUGUGUGUGUGUGUGUGUGUGUCGGAGGAGGAGGAGGUCAGGGCAGACGGUGUAGAUUUCAGGGGUCAAAGGUGAAUCGCCGGGGGAGGGGGAACUAAUCCGACUGUGGAUUUCAUGGGUCUGGCUGCGUCAGGCGACAGCGUCUGAAGGUUUCAGCCUCUUAAACCGGCUGGUAUCUCUUUGAGUUUCCAACUUAACGUCAUAUUGCUUCACGCAGAUGCAUAAAUACAACGUUUAAAUAUCACGUUUUGUGGGUUUCCAGCCUUUAGAAAGGCCCACGGGGAACAUUUGAGGGAUCUAUUGGCAGGAAUGGAAUAUUCUAUUCAUAACCAUGUUUUCAUUGGAAGUGUGAUCAAGUGAAUCCUCGUGUUUCCGUGAGCUUCCAUUGGCGAACGAGACAUAAGCACGGCGCCGAAAGGGUUAAACUUUACUUUCAUGAGCUGAAAAACAACAACGCGCUGUAAAAUGGAUUCGAGUAGUGCGACGAAAACAAGCGCACACUAGUCCAGACACACCGGCCGGAAGGAUUCCCUAAUUCCUCGUCUAUUUUACUCCAAAUGGGCCGUAAAUGACCAAAUAAUCAUCACGCUGUAUUGAAGAAGACUUGAAAGGAGCGUUUGAAGCUACAAACUAACAUUUAUCAUGUUUCUUGAGGGAAUAAAUCGGCUCCUACACAAUCUUCUGAACCGCGAGCCCAUUAAAGCAAAAGAAAGGUUAGAAAACAUGUGCUGAGUGGAUGAUUAAAGUAAAUAAAGUGGUUGCUCGCCACCCGGCACAUGACCCUCUCGCCAUCGCAGCUAUCAGUUUUCUUUUUCAACCGUUUUCUAUUUUCCCUUCACACUUUUCUGCUUUCGCGUGUGUGUGUUUGUGCGCGCGUGUGUGU
ensembl:lncRNA